GGGCUCCCCGGCGGAGGGCUCCCCGCGAGCACCAGGGCAGCGCACCCGCCCGCGCUGUGAGGAUUGGGCGCCAUGGCAUGCCGGCCGAAUUCGGGCAGAACACUAGGCCGGGAGGGAGCGCGAGCCCCACGGAAUAGCGGACGGAACGCAGCAGAGCCCCAGCGGCUACGACAGCCGGCCGAAACGAUCAAGUGAAAUGCAAGUUUACAAAACAAAUCAGCCCUGAGACUCCCCGACAUGAACCUGGGAACUGCCAGGUCUGACUCUGCCUUCCAAGGAGCAGGGAGACCUGGGCGGCCUCGGCUGUCGCUUCAGCUCGCCGUCAUCACGCUCUGUCACCUCCUCACACGGACCAGCGUGCAUGGCUGUUUCCGGGAAACGCCAGCCCACAACAGUGACCCAGGACUGUUUGGGUGGCCUGGCCUUGCAUGACAGGGCACAGGAGUGGCCCAAGGCCCAGGGGCCUGAGGAGAGCAGCCAGAGGCAGGCGUGCAGUGAAUUGUUCCAA